rnacentral:rRNA from 1 species
UACGGAGGGUGCGAGCGUUGUUCGGAAUCACUGGGCGUAAAGCGCGUGUAGGCGGCCCACUAAGUCUGAUGUGAAAGCCCGGGGCUCACCCCCGGAAGUGCAUUGGAAACUGGUGGACUCGAGUCCCGGAGAGGAGAGUGGAAUUCCAGGUGUAGCGGUGAAAUGCGUAGAUAUCUGGAGGAACACCGGUGGCGAAGGCGGCAUCCUGGACCGGUAUUGACGCUGAGGCGCGAAGGCUAGGGGAGCGAACGGG